rnacentral:rRNA from 1 species
CUGGCGGCAGGCCUAACACAUGCAAGUCGAGCGGCAGCGGGCCUUCGGGUGCCGGCGAGCGGCGGACGGUGAGGAAUGCAUAGGAAUCUGCCUAUAGAGGGGGAUAACACGGGGAAACUCGUGCUAAUACCGCAUACGUCCUACGGGAGAAAGCGGGGGAUCGUAAGACCUCGCGCUAAUAGAUGAGCCUAUGCCGGAUUAGCUAGUUGGUAGGGUAAAGGCCUACCAAGGCGACGAUCCGUAGCUGGUCUGAGAGGAUGAUCAGCCACACUGGGACUGAGACACGGCCCAGACUCCUACGGGAGGCAGCAGUGGGGAAUAUUGGACAAUGGGCGCAAGCCUGAUCCAGCCAUGCCGCGUGUGUGAAGAAGGCCUUCGGGUUGUAAAGCACUUUAAGCGGGGAGGAAGGUCAGUGGGUUAAUACCUUACUGAAUUGACGUUACCCGCAGAAUAAGCACCGGCUAACUCUGUGCCAGCAGCCGCGGUAAUACAGAGGGUGCGAGCGUUAAUCGGAAUUACUGGGCGUAAAGCGCACGUAGGUGGUUGUGUAAGUUGAAUGUGAAAGCCCCGGGCUUAACCUGGGAAUGGCAUCCAAAACUGCAUGACUAGAGUAUGGGAGAGGGAGGUAGAAUUCCAGGUGUAGCGGUGAAAUGCGUAGAGAUCUGGAGGAAUACCGGUGGCGAAGGCGGCCUCCUGGCCUAAUACUGACACUGAGGUGCGAAAGCGUGGGUAGCAAACAGGAUUAGAUACCCUGGUAGUCC